UCAAACAAAAAAGAUGAACAGUCAUAACUUAAUUACAGUGAUGCGUCCAUGACAAGUUAACUCAAGUAACUUCAAAACCCCCACUCACACAGUAAAUCACACUUGCACGACACGCCGUCGUAAAAUGGUGUUUUGGUCGUAUCCACCGACGAGAAAACAACUUGCCGGCAGCGCCAUCGUCUUCCUCACCGGCGCCACCCUCUUCGCCGCCGGUGCCUACCUCUCCUUCACUAACAUAGCCCCUCAACAAGCCCGUGCUAAAACCCGUUCCGAUUACGUCAAAUCACGCCUCCGCAAGCUUCUCCAAGACGACGAUUAACUUUCUUUAACCUAAUUCUUCCUUUAUUCCUUCAGUUCAGAUAGCAAUAAUCUUUGACUCAAGUGUUGAUCAUGCUUCAUUGUUUGCGGCCAUCACAGCCCACAUCAGCUGAUAAUUUGCGUUCUCAUCGACUUCCGUUUCAGGGCAUCUCAUCCGGUAUAACUUCAAGUUCAGGAUCCCAAGCCUCUACAGUACUCAACGUGACCAACGAGUAUACAUCAGCAUUACAAACCAGUUCAUAUAGUGAAAUACGGGUUUUUCUCGAUAUAGAAACCGAACGACCCGGCGAGAUCACACAAGACCAACUCUUAGCACAAGUUCUUCGCCCAAACCGUGACUUCGUUGAAGACAUUCUUCAACGCGCGAAGCCCGGUUUUAUAACCGAUUUACUAUGGUCAUUCUUCGAUCAUAGCGAAAACAAAGCGCGAUUAUGUCUCGACCUGACGCAAGCCAUCCGACGGGCCCACACGUUAAUUGCACCGUUACAAGACCUCCUACACGUUCUCCCGCUAGACUCCGAAACCAGCUCGUUAUCCGCACCGCAAUGCAACAGCGCGUUUGAUCUUCUUCUCAAAUACGAACAGCUCGAGAACCCGUUUCCCAGCCCUGGGUCCCGCAACGUGUGCGGCAUGCGAAAUUGCUUCUCCGAUCUGAAUACCCAACUCGAGAGUCUUAUCAAAAAGUCGAAUUCGCGUAUUCAUUUUUUCCAUACGGUCAUCAUAGGGUUUGCAAUCGGUUUAAUUAGUAUAACUAUCGGUGUUAUUGUAGUCGGUGUGAUUAUCGCAAAGCACGCGUUUAUUGCGCUUGCGGCAGCCAUGGUUCUUCCUGCUGCGUUUAUCCCUUCGAAAAUGGAGAAACGAGAGCAGUAUCUUCUUCGACAGUUAGAUGCUGCACAAAGGGGGACUUUUGUUCUACAUGAAGAUAUUAUUACAAUCGAACGGCUCGUGAACCAUUUGUAUUCGGAUAUCGAGGUAAAUAAACGUUUUAUACGUAAUGGCUUAUGGAGGGGUAAAGAUAUGCAUUCUAUCAUGGAGGUAUCGAGACAGUUAAAAAGGAAUAAUGUUUAUUUUCAGAAACAGUUAACGGAUCUUGAAGAACACUUGUGCCUUAGUUUUGCCGCAAUAAAUCGCGCUAGAUCUCACCUUAUUCAAAUUAUUAAGCUUCGUCAAGAUGACCGUUCAUAGACGACACACAUUCUUUAACCGAUGAUGUAUUCUUUUUCGUUCAUCAUUUAUUGUUUUUGUGACUGUUUUAACUGUAGUGCUAAAUUAUACAGAUUUAGGUUUUUAAUCAAA